UUUUGCCAGAAGUUGACCCGCAUGAAGCAACGCCUCUUCAGAUGCUUUUACUUUUUCCGGGUCUGGGAGAAGCAGAGAAGCGGGCUAAUGGCAGGAUCAAGGUACCUCUGUCCUGCCAUGAACUAUUUAGACUUGGCAACUGUGAACUGUUGGCAGCACCAUCAGAUACUCUGGUAAAUUGAUCGGAACGA